UCCUAGUGGCUCAGAUGGUAAAGUGUCUGCCUAUAAUGCAGGAGACCCAGGUUCAAUCCCUGGGUCAGGAA
rfam:Ovis aries breed Texel chromosome 8, whole genome shotgun sequence.